rnacentral:piRNA from 1 species
UCCGACUACGGAAUGACCAUGAGAUUACACU